UUAAAUUCUUAGAUAAGGAAGAGUAGCUAUAAAGUAUAGUUUUAGAGAGUCGAUGAUGGUGGAAAUUCGAUACGAUGGCUUGUAGUGAAUGGACCUUGGAGAAACAAACCGAAACCUUUAAUUGUAAGGUAGUAGUAUUUGGCGGAAGCCCUCCGUUAUAGGGGAUAGGAUAUGUUGGUAUCUGAAAAAGAGUGAUACUUUUAUAAGUAUAAUUUAGGUGGCACCGCGGAGUAACUUCGCCCUAUUG
rnacentral:ncRNA from 1 species